UCCAUCUCCCAGCCGUCUCUCCUCCCUGGUCUUCUUUCUAUCCAAACUCCAAAGGCGCUGCUGCAUCUGGCCUUCUCUACCACAUCAUGCACCGCCACCGCUGGCCGCUGCUCUCUCCUCCCCUGCGCUUGGCUGCUCUCGUCUGCCUGCCUGCCUGCCUGCUGCGGACAGCAAACCCGUCCUGCGCUGGUCCGAGAGCAGUCCCGGUGGCCGGUGACCGGUGCGUGCGCUGAUCUGCCGGCUGCCUGGAGCAGUCCCGCCGGCCGGUGACCGCUGCGUGCGCUGAUCUGCCGGACGCCUGCAACCGGCUGCUCAGAUCCGUUGCGCAACCGCAUGCAGUCCCGCCGGUGGCCGGCGCCGGGCGCUGUGCCGGGGACUUGGCCGUCGGGCGAGAGUCUGGCGCACCCACCGGUGGCCGGCGGCUGGGCGAGAGUCUGGCGCACCCACCGGUGGCCGGCCGCAGGUCUGCUCUGUUUUUCCAGAGGUCCUCUCUGCUCAUUUGCUUGUGAGAGCAGGCAGUUUACAGCGCACCCACCACCCACCCACCAGCUAGUAGAGUUGUGUCAGUACAAGAAUAGUAAGCAGGAUUGAGAGUGACCGGUGGCGUCACGUCGACGCGACGUUUUUAACUCUUCCCCUUUUUUUUCUUUCUUUUGUGUAUGUGCAAUACAGUAAAAAAAAAGGUUCUCGUCACGUAAAACAUAAGAGACGACAGGUGUCGACAUGCAGGUGGGUGGAACAACCGGGCUCCGGUGCUUGUAACCCUAAAUUUAACCGACACGAGACGAGACGAGAGGAGAUUUUAUCUCUUUCUUCCUUUCCUGAUCCUGAUGAGACGAGGAGCAGUCCAGAUCUGGCAGACCCAACCCUCCACGCCGGCCUGCCUGAUCCUAGGUUCGCCGCCGGCGCCGGCCACGGCCACGGCCACGUACGGUCUCCCCCGCUCCCUUCCUCCGCUCUCCACGCACGCGCCCUUUCUUCCCCAAGCAAGGAUCGAUCCUUGGAACUAGCCACGCGCCGCCUCUCUUUCUCCUUCCUGCCGGACAAGUCGACUGAUGAUCCCAACUAACUUGCAGGAGGGUUAAUCGACGCGCUCAUCCCCACCAUGGCCGACCGCUUCUUCUCGCACCGCCGGGAUGGCCGCGGACAGCACAGAGCACACCCGCCGGUGACAGGUGUGUUUGGCUGCUCUCAUCCGCCCGCUGCCGAGAUCAGUCCCGGCGGACGCCGACAGAUGCGGAUCCGCGCGGGCCGGCGUGCGGGGGGGGGUAUUCUUGCCGGACGUCGAUAUUCUCCUGAGGCCAGAGGCAGUGAAUCAAUCACGUAAGUCGGAUGGUAGCAUCGUCGACACGUACACAGACAUGCGAGACUGUGCCGUUCUCCCUCGUACACCGACCGUGUGCCGGCCGGCCGGCGGCCACGAGUGCAAAUUCUCCCGUGGUGCGAGUGCAACGCAACGCCGGGCGAGAUCCAAGGGCUGAUCAUUGGUCCGUAGUAUGGAUGGAGUACAAGGGCCGGUGAAGAACCAAAGUGAGAAGUGGCCUCUCUGAGCAUGAGUUGUAUGUGGUGGCCUCCACAGCCCCAAACGGCGCCUCUCAUUCUUGUAUUUAAUCCUAUAAUGAACAAGGUUUUCAAUCAAUCGGCAGGGUAUAGUACAGUGGGUGAAGAAUCCUUUUGCAAUACCCUACCGAAGAAGUUGUUCGCGUAACCGAGAAAUAGAAGAUAAAAAUCUUGGUCUCUCUCUCUCUCUCGGAGCAUCUUUGGCGGGCUCGCUUUGACUCCUUUCGGGUUUUGGCUACACACAUGCGAGUCUUUCUGUUCCCUCCUCCAGCUAAUGAUGUUGUUUAUAUGGAAUAUCUUCAAUACAUGCAAUGAUGGGGAUUAUAUAUAUUUGCUUCAUGGCGAUGAGGCAGAAGAGAGCUUAAUGGUGAUGGAUUAAAAGUCCACCGAAACCCGUUGUGCGAAUGUGAGAUAUACAAGUAAAAUAAACCCGUAAACAAGCCUAGCUAAUGGCCUAAUUCCCUCUAAACCGGAGGCCCGGCCCAAUUAUUCUACAAUAUAUAAAGGACAUCCUUGGAGAAGCGACGCCCCCUCCCUGCCUUCCUCCCAAAGAACCCGCAUCCGCUGCCGCCGCCGCCGCGGUAUCCCUAAGUAUCCAAAGGAGCGAACCAUGGCCGCCGCCCACCACCAGGAGCAGCAGCAGGCGCUCGAGGGCGUCGAUCCCCCACCGCCGAUUGCGCUAGUAAGCUCUGUUUCGGCAGAGGCUCCAUACGCCCGAGGACGAGUUCAAAGCCUUCCAAGACCGUCGGUAUGAGCCAGACAAGAAAGGCUUUCCCAUCCCAAAAAGGGGCAAACAAACUGGAGGAGUCCACUUGGCUGUUUGACAAAAAUAAGCACUCAACCGGCCUUGUGCUGGGCGAUCUGCUUAAGCGUGCUAUCUUCUACCAGAACAAUCUGAUUGCUGAUAAGAGAAGGGAAAUGCUGAAGGUAAUGACCUCCAGCAACAAGAACCGCCAAUACCUCCUUCGGCUCGGAAGUCAGCAUAAGGGCCUAGUGGAUAGGCUGGAAAACAUGUUGACGGAUUUCCACGCCGUUAUCCUAAAUGUGGUUCUUGAAAUGCCGGAGCAUUUCAGGGCGCUACCCAAGCUUCAAGAGUAGAGGUUAUUUUAUCAAGAUUUUGGCGACGCUGCUUCAUGAAUUAGAAUUUAUCUUAUGUUAUCUAUAUCUACCGGUAGUGUUAUCAUUUUGAGCUCCUUAGUGAGUGUUGGUCAUGCCCUGAGCCUAUAGAGGUUCUUUUGUAGAGACCCUUGUGCCUGUAGAGAUUCUUCUGUCGAGACUUUGGCACUGCUCUUUUAUGACUGAUAAUUUAUCUUAUGUUGGUGGUUUUUAUCAUUUUGAGCUCCAUAUUGAGUGUUUGUCAGGCCUUGUGCCUGCUGGUUGGAUUGUUUCAACCAGAAUAUUUAUAUGUGGUAUGAGAUCUUUUGUGUGGUUAAAAGCUU